GACGAACGCUGGCGGCGUGCCUAAUACAUGCAAGUAGGACGCAGUUGCGAACGGGUGAGUAACGCGUAGGUAACUGCCUAUUAGAGGGGGAUAACUCUUGGAAACGCUUGCUAAUACCGCAUACUAGUAGCUGGACCGUCGUUAUAUUAGCUAGUAGGUAGGGUAAUGGCCUACCGAGGCACUGAUACAUCGCCGACCUGCGCGGGUGAUCGGGUACACGGGUACUGGGAAACGGCCCUGAGGCCCACGGGAGGCAGCAGUAGGGAAUCUUCGGCAAUGGGGCGAACCCUGACCGAGCAACGCCGCGUGGGGGAAGAAGGUUUGCGGAUCAUAGAGCUCUGUUGUUAAGGAAGCGGUACUUAACCAGAAAGGGACGGCUAACUACGUGCCAGCAGCCGCGGUAAUUC
rnacentral:rRNA from 1 species